GGGUUGUGAGGUUAAGCGAAUAAGCGUACACGGUGGAUGCCUAGGCAAUCAGAGGCGAUGAAGGACGUGCUAAUCUGCGAAAAGCGUCGGUAAGGUGAUAUGAACCGUUAUACCCGACGAUAUCCGAAUGGGGAAACCCAGUAUCCAAUGGAUACUAUCAUUAACUGAAUCCAUAGGUUAAUGAGGCGAACCGGGAGAACUGAAACAUCUCAGUACCCCGAGGAAAAGAAAUCAACCGAGAUUCCCCUAGUAGCGGCGAGCGAACGGGGAACAGCCCAGAGUCUUAAUCAAUAGCAGUGUCAGGAGAACGGUCUGGAAAGUCCGGCAGUAAAGGGUGAUAGCCCCGUAUCUGAAGAUGCUGUUAUUGUGAACUCGACGAGUAGGGCGGGACACGUGUUAUCCUGUCUGAAUAUGGGGGGACCAUCCUCCAAGGCUAAAUACUCCUGAUUGACCGAUAGUGAACCAGUACCGUGAGGGAAAGGCGAAAAGAACCCCGGCGAGGGGAGUGAAAAAGAACCUGAAACCGUGUACGUACAAGCAGUAGGAGCCUCUUUAUGGGGUGACUGCGUACCUUUUGUAUAAUGGGUCAGCGACUUAUAUUCUGUAGCGAGGUUAACCGUAUAGGGGAGCCGUAGGGAAACCGAGUCUUAACUGGGCGAAUGAGUUGCAGGGUAUAGACCCGAAACCCGGUGAUCUAUCCAUGGGCAGGUUGAAGGUUGGGUAACACUAACUGGAGGACCGAACCGACUAAUGUUGAAAAAUUAGCGGAUGACUUGUGGAUGGGGGUGAAAGGCCAAUCAAACCGGGAGAUAGCUGGUUCUCCCCGAAAGCUAUUUAGGUAGCGCCUCGUGAACUCAUCUUCGGGGGUAGAGCACUGUUUCGACUAGGGGGUCAUCCCGACUUACCAACUCGAUGCAAACUGCGAAUACCGAAGAAUGUUAUCACGGGAGACACACGGCGGGUGCUAACGUCCGUCGUGAAGAGGGAAACAACCCAGACCGCCAGCUAAGGUCCCAAAGUCAUGGUUAAGUGGGAAACGAAGUGGGAAGGCUCAGACAGCCAGGAUGUUGGCUUAGAAGCAGCCAUCAUUUAAAGAAAGCGUAAUAGCUCACUGGUCGAGUCGGCCCGCGCGGAAGAUGUAACGGGGCUAAACCAUGCACCGAAGCUGCGGCAGCGACACAAAGUGUUGUUGGGUAGGGGAGCGUUCUGUAAGCCUGCGAAGGUGUACUGUGAGGUAUGCUGGAGGUAUCAGAAGUGCGAAUGCUGACAUAAGUAACGAUAAUGCGGGUGAAAAACCCGCACGCCGGAAGACCAAGGGUUCCUGUCCAACGUUAAUCGGGGCAGGGUGAGUCGACCCCUAAGGCGAGGCUGAAAAGCGUAGUCGAUGGGAAACGGGUUAAUAUUCCCGUACUGGUGGUAACUGCGAUGGGGGAACGGAGAAGGCUAGGUUGUCCGGGCGACGGUCGUCCCGGUUCAAGCAGGUAGGCAGAGUGAUUAGGCAAAUCCGGUCACUUAAUGCUGAGAUGUGAUGACGAACCACCAAGGUGGUGAAGCAAUUGAUGCCCCGCUUCCAGGAAAAGCCUCUAAGCUUCAGGUUACCAACAAUCGUACCCCAAACCGACACAGGUGGUCAGGUAGAGAAUACUCAGGCGCUUGAGAGAACUCGGGUGAAGGAACUAGGCAAAAUGGUGCCGUAACUUCGGGAGAAGGCACGCUGGCGGUAAGUAAAGUCCCUCGCGGACGGCGCUGAAGCCAGUCGAAGAUACCAGCUGGCUGCAACUGUUUAUUAAAAACACAGCACUGUGCAAACACGAAAGUGGACGUAUACGGUGUGACGCCUGCCCGGUGCUGGAAGGUUAAUUGAUGGGGUUAGCGCAAGCGAAGCUCCUGAUCGAAGCCCCAGUAAACGGCGGCCGUAACUAUAACGGUCCUAAGGUAGCGAAAUUCCUUGUCGGGUAAGUUCCGACCUGCACGAAUGGCGUAAUGAUGGCCAGGCUGUCUCCACCCGAGACUCAGUGAAAUUGAACUCGCUGUGAAGAUGCAGUGUACCCGCGGCAAGACGGAAAGACCCCGUGAACCUUUACUAUAGCUUGACACUGAACAUUGAGCCUUGAUGUGUAGGAUAGGUGGGAGGCUUUGAAGUGUGGACGCCAGUCUGCAUGGAGCCAACCUUGAAAUACCACCCUUUAACGUUUGAUGUUCUAACCUAGGCCCAUAAACUGGGUCGGGGACCGUGUCUGGUGGGUAGUUUGACUGGGGCGGUCUCCUCCUAAAGAGUAACGGAGGAGCACGAAGGUUGGCUAAGCAUGGUCGGACAUCAUGCGGUUAGUGCAAAGGCAUAAGCCAGCUUGACUGCGAGAGUGACGGCUCGAGCAGGUACGAAAGUAGGUCUUAGUGAUCCGGUGGUUCUGAAUGGAAGGGCCAUCGCUCAACGGAUAAAAGGUACUCCGGGGAUAACAGGCUGAUACCGCCCAAGAGUUCAUAUCGACGGCGGUGUUUGGCACCUCGAUGUCGGCUCAUCACAUCCUGGGGCUGAAGUAGGUCCCAAGGGUAUGGCUGUUCGCCAUUUAAAGUGGUACGCGAGCUGGGUUUAGAACGUCGUGAGACAGUUCGGUCCCUAUCUGCCGUGGGCGUUGGAAGAUUGAGAGGGGUUGCUCCUAGUACGAGAGGACCGGAGUGAACGCACCACUGGUGUUCGGGUUGUCAUGCCAAUGGCAUUGCCCGGUAGCUAAGUGCGGAAGAGAUAACCGCUGAAAGCAUCUAAGCGGGAAACUUGCCUCGAGAUGAGUCUUCCCUGUCGCUUUAAGCGACCUAAAGGAACGUUUAAGACUAAGACGUUGAUAGGCUGGGUGUGUAAGCGUAGCGAUACGUUGAGCUAACCAGUACUAAUGAACCGUGAGGCUUAACCUGACAACACCGAAAGUGUUUUG
rnacentral:rRNA from 1 species